rnacentral:rRNA from 1 species
UACUAGAGUAGCACUCGCAUAUCAAUAAGCGGAGGAAAAGAAACUAACAAGGAUUCCCCUAGUAACGGCGAGUGAAGCGGGAAGAGCUCAAAUUUGAAAUCUUAAAGGGUUUCCCUUUACGAAUUGCAGUUUAAAGAAGUGUUUUCUGUUGAGGUUUUGGUAAAAGUUCUUUGGAAUAGGACAUCAUAGAGGGUGAGAAUCCCGUAUUUGACCUUUACUUUCAACUUUGUGAUACACUUUCAAAGAGUCGGAUUGUUUGGGAAUGCAGUCCAAAAUGGGUGGUAAAUUUCAUCUAAAGCUAAAUAUUGGCGAGAGACCGAUAGCGAACAAGUACCGUGAGGGAAAGAUGAAAAGAACUUUGAAAAGAGAGUUAAACAGUACGUGAAAUUGUCAAAAGGGAAGCGUUUGACACCAGUGUUGUUUUUCUGAAAAUCAAUUAAAGAACUGUUUAUGCUAAGUUGUUUAGACUUUAUCAGCUAACUGUUUAGUUUUGAGCUUUUCUUUAAUGCACUUUUCAGUUAACAAGUCAACAUCAAUUUCUUUUGCUGUAAAAAAGCUUGAGGAAGGUGGCUUGAGAUUCGUCUUAAGUGUUUAUAGCCUCUUGCCUAUGCAGUCGGAGAGGAUUGAGGUCUGCAGCGUAGAUCCUUCGGGGCUAAAUGCAUUUGUGCUAAGUUAUAGCAUUUUAUAGACAACUUGUUGACUAUGAUUUGUCUUGUAGCUUACUCGCUUAUGUUAUUUUACCUACGCUUAGGAUGUUGAACUACUGAGACAUAGA